CGAGCUACUAAUGGUCACAAAUCAGAAUAGUACAAUGUUUCUGCUGUUUUCUGAAGCUACAUUAGAAAGCCAGAGGUGUUUACUUGAAGUUCUGCCAUGUUAAUGUUUAUGUGCUUGCUUUAAAAUGCUGUAGUUCUUUAACUAAUCAUGCAUUGUUAACCUCUUGGAAAAGGCAGCGCUUCAGACUACGGUGUUUGCACAGCAGAUUGUAAAAUUGUGUCUCAGAGCUCCAAGGGGGCUAGAACUGUCACGAAUACUUCUAAUAAUAUUGGAAGAAAAUUAAUAGAAGCUCAAGUCCUUGAGCAGGAAUCAGAAUCACACAGCACGGCAUUAUGCAGCCUCUGAAAUUUGAGGAACUGCUGUACAACAUUUCCCAUGCUCAGUUGAGUAGCCAUGUUUUAUCCUCCAGUAAAUGUUUAUUCGGCUGAUCUUACAUUUGGGAAAACUACGGAAUUAUUCAAGGCCAAAUUGCCAGUCCUGCCGAGAUCAUUCAGAGUGCUCUUGAUGUGGUUGUUCAUUGAACCAUCUGCUGAAAGACUAGAGGAGUGGCAGACAAAACAGUGGCUGAAGAAAGCUUUACUAAAUUGUUUUCAUUUCCACCAAAAGGACUGAGGAGCACUGUGAGACUGACUGUUCUUUGUGCUGAACUCAAGAGACAGCAAACUCAAUACUGGAAAAUCACUUUUCAGGCCAAGUUGUAAAGCGGUUCUUGCCUCCAGCUGUCACAGACUUCCUCUAAGUACCAAAAGGCUGCUAUAAGGUUUCCGCAGAGCCUCCUUGUCUGCCUCAACUCUCCAGAGAGUCUUUUAGAAG
ensembl:lncRNA